GAUGAACGCUGGCGGCGUGCCUAACACAUGCAAGUCGAACGGACGAGAAGAGCUUGCUCUUCGAGUUAGUGGCGGACGGGUGAGUAACGCGUGAGCAAUCUGCCUUUCAGAGGGGGAUAACAUUGGGAAACCGGUGCUAAUACCGCAUGAUGUGCGAGGGUCGCAUGACUCUUGUACCAAAGGAGCAAUCCGCUGAAAGAUGAGCUCGCGUCUGAUUAGCUAGUUGGUGAGGUAACGGCCCACCAAGGCGACGAUCAGUAGCCGGACUGAGAGGUUGAACGGCCACAUUGGAACUGAGAUACGGUCCAGACUCCUACGGGAGGCAGCAGUGGGGAAUAUUGGGCAAUGGGCGCAAGCCUGACCCAGCAACGCCGUGUGAAGGAAGAAGGUCUUCGGAUUGUAAACUUUUGUCUUAUGGGACGAUAAUGACGGUACCAUAGGAGGAAGUCACGACUAACUACGUG
rnacentral:rRNA from 1 species